rnacentral:rRNA from 1 species
UCGAGAAUUUUUCUCAAUGGGGGAAACCCUGAAGGAGCGACGCCGCGUGGAGGAUGAAGGUCUUCGGGUUGUAAACUCCUGUCAUUUGGGAACAAUGCGUAAAUAUUAACUGUAUUUGCGUUGAUAGUACCAGAAGAGGAAGAGACGGCUAACUCUGUGCCAGCAGCCGCGGUAAUACAGAGGUCUCAAGCGUUGUUCGGAUUCAUUGGGCGUAAAGGGUGCGUAGGCGGCGCGGUAAGUCGGAUGUGAAAUCUCGGGGCUUAACUCCGAAACUGCAUUCGAUACUACCGUGCUUGAGGACUGGAGAGGAGACUGGAAUUUACGGUGUAGCGGUGAAAUGCGUAGAUAUCGUAAGGAAGACCAGUGGCGAAGGCGGGUCUCUGGACAGUUCCUGACGCUGAGGCACGAAGGCCAGGGGAGCAAACGG